AAGAUGAGGCUUGGCUUGAUGGACCGGUUGCAAGAGUGAAGGGCAAGUCGGAGGCUUUGAAGCGAGGGACCGCGUGUGACGGUGAAGCUUGAGCAAGACUUGGCGCCGAUGGACCGAGGCAACGGUGAAGAGCAAGUGAGGUCAAGAUCGAUGAACCAAUACGGUCACAUGAUGAUAUGAAGUGGAUCAUAUCAUUUGGUGAUUGGUUGGUGCAUGCACUGUUCGCCUAAACGGCCGUUUAGACCGUUUAUACGCCGUGUAAACGCUACACAAUGAUACACCGUUUCCGUUUAAUCAUCUGUUUAGUCCGUUUAAUUGACCGUUUAGCCCGUUUAAUGGACUGUUUAGCCCGAAUAGUGGCUAAACGGCAGGUGACCGACCGUUUACCGUUUAGCGUUUAGGAAAACAUUGGGUGCAUGUGUUGCAUCAACAUUGGAGGAGAUGGAAUGGAAAGCGCAAGGCAAAGGUAUAACCUAGGGUAUUUCCAUUUCACCGGUCAUAGGUGUGUAGAGAAGUUUAUGACCGGAUUUAGGAUAGAUGGCCGUACUAUCAAGAGGGGCAAACUUGUUUGCAUAUCGGUCAUCUAAUGCCACUUCAGCGAUCUAACUUUGCAUACGUGUUAGGAUCGAGUGGCGUGGCA
rnacentral:lncRNA from 1 species